GGGCCGGUAGAUCAGUGGCAGAUCGCUUCCUUCGCAAGGAAGAGGCCCGGGGUUCAAAUCCCCGCCGGUCCA
rnacentral:tRNA from 4 species